AGGAGGAGCCUCAACGGCGCCGGUCAGCAGCUCUGACAUGGCGGCGGCACACAGCCUGGUCCCCUGGUACAUCGCUGCUGGAAUGGAUGGAACUUUACUCUGCUGAAUGAGUCCAUCACGCAACGUUCGAUUCCACGCGUGGACAUGGACGCGUUUUAUUUCUCCCUGCGCGGAGAUGGUCGGUGCGUAAAAACUUUCUAUGAAUGGAGCUGCAAAGUUUCCAGACUCACGCUCGGACCAGCGGCUGUCUCAACAAAAUGAAGAGAUCCUCUGUCAAACUGCUGCCUCUGCUCUUUCAGCGGCUCAGGCCGGAUUAAACCCGGCUGACGGUGCUCAGUGUGCGGUUGCUCCGCUCCCUCACGCCAGCCUCUGUGUUCCAGGUAUGGUUGUCCACUUCAGCAGCCCAGAGGAGGAGACGUGUCAUUACAGCUGCCCACCACGGAUUUACCCUUUCACAUCAAGUUUAUUUCUUGGAUUUACAUGACUUUUAUCCUAUUUUCUUAAUGUGAAUGUGAUGAUACCUGAGCUGUUUUUCAAAGACAUAUGUCAAACAUUAAAGAACAUUUUUUACUUUUAUACAA